AGAGAGAGAGAGAGAGAGAGAGAGAGAGUUGAAGAAGAAAGACAGAGUACUUUUAGAGAGAUUUGUAUAUUGAUCUUUUAUCAUGACUGAUUACAAUGAUGAGUAUGUUAUAUACAGAGUUAAUCCUGGACUGAUAACAAUCUAACUAACAUCAUGUGGUGUCACAUGCUUUGACACUAACUAACUCCUCACUAUUAUUAUAGUUAUCAUUCCCCCUCAAACCCAGUUGUGGUGGGUAUCCUAAUCUCAGAUGUGC
rnacentral:lncRNA from 1 species